CCUCAGCCUGCAAUCUUUCUCUCAAGGGUGGACCCGGAGCCCCUGCGCUCCAGCUCCGCACAGUGACUGCCCUCUGGACGGCACCGCGCACAGCAGGGGGACUGCCCAGCAGAGUGGGUCAGGGUGCAGAAGCUGCCUGGACUGUGGCUGGAGAAGCAACAGCGUAGGCCAUAACAGGGCGAGGAGGCGCCUCGGCCCAGCCUCCCCAGGACCGUGUGACAACGGGCGGCUCUCCCUCUGUGACCCCUCGCCUGCCUCACACUUCUGCUGAGAGCUGUUUUCCUGUAGGCACAGAGAUGGUGGCCACCCUGAAGGCACAGGCUGUUCCCGCUGAAGCUCCUUCAGCCAGCGAGGGGCCGGUGGUUUUCAUUAGCCUCAACAAACACAGCAAGUCACAGUCCCUUCCAGCAGGAUUGCAGGACAGGAAGGCCCAGAACCGGGAGGAAAUGAGAUCUGCGAGCAGCGAGGACUCUGCAGACACGCUGGCACGAACCUUCCAGAAGGACCCUGUGCAACGAGAAUUAUUCCACGUUCCGACGAGAGGAAGCUGGACUCAGGGACUUCAGGGGAUUGAGAUACCAAGACAGGUGUGCGUGACAAUGCACAUCAUGUGGGCUGAGGGAGUCGAAGACGUGAGGCCGUGCUUCCAGCCCAUGUAGACGGAGAGCAUUCCGAAUGUGCUGUGGACAGAGAGGAGAGCAUCCUGGUGUGCAAGCAGCCACUGUGAGCCCUUGGGAACGCGAGCAUUGGGAGGGAUCCAGUUCCUCAUCUCCUGUCCCUCACCUGUUCUUGGGUGAAGGCGGUAACACAGAACAGCGGAGGAAUCGUGAGGACGCAGGUGCACUAAACGCUUCUCCAGGACAAGCGUGGCUGCCGCUCUGGCUCGGUGUGCCCUGUGAGUGUGUGUGCUGUGCACCUGAGGUCCUGACUCUCCCGGACCUCGGCCAGGGUGCCAGGCUUCCACCUCAUCGCUGCUUGGCGGGCUUUGCUUUUACAAAUCAUAGAACACCACCAGGGUUUUGCCCUCUCUUGCCGGCAACACAGUGGAGAGAACUCAGGGACAGGUUUUCAAGUGCCUCCUUUGUCUGCUUCUCUCUCAUCACCUCCUCUGACUGUCCUUGGGCUUUCCCCUGCUGUGCUUUACCAAUUUCUUCCCUUGUAGAAACAAUGGCCGCACUUUUAGAAGCUCUUUUCAGAAGCUCUGAAGUUGUUUUCUUAGGCUAACUUGUCAAUGGCAUUUAAAACUGGUUAUGUUUUAAUAAAAUAAUCUUG